rnacentral:rRNA from 1 species
GGACUGGGAUAACCCUGGGAAACUGGGGAUAAUACUAGAUAGGCAAUUUUUCCUGGAAUGGUUUUUUGUUUAAAUGUUUUUUCGCCUAAGGAUGGGUCUGCGGCCGAUUAGGUAGUUGGUUAGGUAAUGGCUUACCAAGCCGUUGAUCGGUACGGGUUGUGAGAGCAAGAGCCCGGAGAUGGAACCUGAGACAAGGUUCCAGGCCCUACGGGGUGCAGCAGGCGCGAAACCUCCGCAAUGUGAGAAAUCGCGACAGGGGGAUCCCAAGUGCCAUUCUUAACGGGAUGGCUUUUCAUUAGUGUAAAGAGCUUUUGGAAUAAGGGCUGGGCAAGACCGGUGCCAGCCGCCGCGGUAACACCGGCAGCUCUAGUGGUAGCAGUUUUUAUUGGGCCUAAAGCGUCCGUAGCAGGUUUAAUAAGUCUCUGGUGAAAUCCUGUAGCUUAACUGUGGGAAUUGCUGGAGAUACUAUUAGACUUGAGACCGGGAGAGGUUAGAGGUACUCCCAGGGUAGAGGUGAAAUUCUGUAAUCCUGGGAGGACCGCCUGUUGCGAAGGCGUCUAACUGGAACGGUUCUGACGGUGAGGGACGAAAGU